rnacentral:rRNA from 1 species
UAAUACGUAGGAGGCGAGCGUUAUCCGGAUUUAUUGGGCGUAAAGAGGGCGUAGGCGGUUCUUCAAGUCGGAUGUGAAAUCUCCCGGCUCAACCGGGAGGGGUCAUCCGAUACUGUUGGGCUAGAGGGCAGUAGAGGAAGGUGGAAUUCCCGGUGUAGUGGUGAAAUGCGUAGAUAUCGGGAGGAACACCAGUGGCGAAGGCGGCCUUCUGGGCUGUUUCUGACGCUGAGGAGCGAAAGCUAGGGGAGCAAACGGGAUUAGAUACCCCGGUAGUCCUAGCUGUAAACGAUGGAUACUAGGUGUGGGAGGUAUCGACCCCAUCCGUGCCGAAGCUAACGCGAUAAGUAUCCCGCCUGGGGACUACGGCCGCAAGGUUA